rnacentral:piRNA from 1 species
UCAUCAAAGAAAAUGACAAUGCUGUGCUC